AAUUUUGGACAAUGGGGGCAACCCUGAUCCAGCCAUGCCGCGUGUGUGAAGAAGGCCUUCGGGUUGUAAAGCACUUUCGGCCGGAACGAAAUCGCGCGGGUGAAUAUCCCGCGUGGAUGACGGUACCGGAAGAAGAAGCACCGGCCAACUACGUGCCAGAAGCCGCGGUCACACGUAGGGUGCAAGCGUUGUCCGGAAUCAUUGGGCGUAAAGAGCUCGUAGGCGGCUUAGUAAGUCGGGUGUGAAACCUCCAGGCUCAACCUGGAGACGCCACCCGAUACUGCUAUAGCUAGAGUCCAGUAGGGGAGUGCGGAAUUCCCGGUGUAGCGGUGAAAUGCGCAGAUAUCGGGAGGAACACCAGCGGCGAAGGCGGCACUCUGGGCUGGUACUGACGCUCAGGAGCGAAAGCGUGGGUAGCGAAC
rnacentral:rRNA from 1 species